rnacentral:rRNA from 1 species
AGUGAACGCNGGCGGCGUGCCUAAUACAUGCAAGUCGAACGGACAAGUAAGAGCUUGCUCUUAUGAGUUAGUGGCGCACGGGUGAGUAAUGUAUAGCUAAUCUGCCCUACACUAGAGGACAACAGUUGGAAACGACUGCUAAUACUCUAUACUCCUCUCUAGCAUAAGUUAGAUAGGGAAAGUUUUUCGGUGUAGGAUGAGGCUAUAUUGUAUCAGCUAGUUGGUGAGGUAAUGGCUCACCAAGGCUAUGACGCAUCACUGGUCUGAGAGGAUGAUCAGUCACACUGGAACUGAGACACGGUCCAGACUCCUACGGGAGGCAGCAGUAGGGAAUAUUGCUCAAUGGGGGAAACCCUGAAGCAGCAACGCCGCGUGGAGGAUGACACUUUUCGGAGCGUAAACUCCUUUUGUUAGGGAAGAACAANGACG